AGAGCGAACGCUGGCGGCGUGCUUAACACAUGCAAGUCGAGUGCGCGCCUGUAGCAAUACAGGUGGCGCACGGCGCACGGGUGCGUAACACGUGGGUAAUCUGCCCUUCGAAGGGGAAUAACUCGCCGAAAGGCGAGCUAAUUCCGCAUAACAUUCCGAGAACUUCCGUUUUCGGAUUCAAAGGCGUAAGUCGUCGGAGGAGGAGCCCGCGCACGAUUAGCUAGUUGGUGAGGUAAUGGCUCACCAAGGCUAUGAUCGUUAGCUGGUCUGAGAGGAUGGCCAGCCACACUGGAACUGAGACACGGUCCAGACUCCUACGGGAGGCAGCAGUGGGGAAUCUUGCACAAUGGGCGAAAGCCUGAUGCAGCGACGCCGCGUGGGGGAUGAAGCUUCUCGGAGUGUAAACCCCUUUCGACCCGGACGAAACCUCGCAAGAGGAUUGACGGUACGGGUAUAAGAAGCCCGGCUAACUACGCGCCAGCAGCCGCGGUAAU
rnacentral:rRNA from 1 species